CAGUCGAACGAACUCUGGUAUUGAUUGGUGCUUGCAUCAUGAUUUACAUUUGAGUGAGUGGCGAACUGGUGAGUAACACGUGGGAAACCUGCCCAGAAGCGGGGGAUAACACCUGGAAACAGAUGCUAAUACCGCAUAAUAACUUGGACCGCAUGGUCCGAGCUUGAAAGAUGGCUUCGGCUAUCACUUUUGGAUGGUCCCGCGGCGUAUUAGCUAGAUGGUGGGGUAACGGCUCACCAUGGCAAUGAUACGUAGCCGACCUGAGAGGGUAAUCGGCCACAUUGGGACUGAGACACGGCCCAAACUCCUACGGGAGGCAGCAGUAGGGAAUCUUCCACAAUGGACGAAAGUCUGAUGGAGCAACGCCGCGUGAGUGAAGAAGGGUUUAGGCUCGUAAAACUCUGUUGUUAAAGAAGAACAUAUCUGAGAGUAACUGUUCAGGUAUUGACGGUAUUUAACCAGAAAGCCACGGCUAACUACGUGCCAGCAGCCGCGGUAAUACGUAGGUGGCAAGCGUUGUCCGGAUUUAUUGGGCGUAAAGCGAGCGCAGGCGGUUUUUUAAGUCUGAUGUGAAAGCCUUCGGCUCAACCGAAGAAGUGCAUCGGAAACUGGGAAACUUGAGUGCAGAAGAGGACAGUGGAACUCCAUGUGUAGCGGUGAAAUGCGUAGAUAUAUGGAAGAACACCAGUGGCGAAGGCGGCUGUCUGGUCUGUAACUGACGCUGAGGCUCGAAAGUAUGGGUAGCAAACAGGAUUAGAUACCCGGGUAGUCCAUACCGUAAACGAUGAAUGCUAAGUGUUGGAGGGUUUCCGCCCUUCAGUGCUGCAGCUAACGCAUUAAGCAUUCCGCCUGGGGAGUACGGCCGCAAGGCUGAAACUCAAAGGAAUUGACGGGGGCCCGCAC
rnacentral:rRNA from 1 species